AACGAACGCUGGCGGCAUGCCUAACACAUGCAAGUCGAACGAGACCUUCGGGUCUAGUGGCGCACGGGUGCGUAACGCGUGGGAAUCUGCCCUUGGGUCCGGAACAACAGUUAGAAAUGACUGCUAAUACCGGAUGAUGACUUCGGUCCAAAGAUUUAUCGCCCAGGGAUGAGCCCGCGUCGGAUUAGCUAGUUGGUGAGGUAAAGGCUCACCAAGGCGACGAUCCGAAGCUGGUCUGAGAGGAUGAUCAGCCACACUGGGACUGAGACACGGCACAGACUCCUACGGGGGGCAGCAGGGGGGAAUAUUGGACAAUGGGCGAAAGCCUGAUCCAGCAAUGCCGCGUGAGUGAUGAAGGCCGUAGGGUUGUAAAGCUCUUUUACCCGGGACGAUAAUGACAGUACCGGGAGAAUAAGCCCCGGCUAACUCCGUGCCAGCCGCCGCGGUAA
rnacentral:rRNA from 1 species